rnacentral:rRNA from 1 species
AUUGAACGCUGGCGGCAUGCUUUACACAUGCAAGUCGAACGGUAACAGGCCGCAAGGUGCUGACGAGUGGCGAACGGGUGAGUAAUGCAUCGGAACGUGCCCAGUCGUGGGGGGUAACGCAGCGAAAGCUGCGCUAAUACCGCAUACGAUCUAUGGAUGAAAGCGGGGGACCGAAAGGCCUCGCGCGAUUGGAGCGGCCGAUGUCAGAUUAGGUAGUUGGUGGGGUAAAGGCUCACCAAGCCAACGAUCUGUAGCUGGUCUGAGAGGACGACCAGCCACACUGGGACUGAGACACGGCCCAGACUCCUACGGGAGGCAGCAGUGGGGAAUUUUGGACAAUGGGCGCAAGCCUGAUCCAGCAAUGCCGCGUGCAGGAAGAAGGCCUUCGGGUUGUAAACUGCUUUUGUACGGAACGAAAAGGCUCUGGUUAAUACCUGGGGCUCAUGACGGUACCGUAAGAAUAAGCACCGACUAACUACGUGCCAGCCGCCGCCGUAAAAC